GGUCAACAUCUCUCAAUGGCGUAAAGGGGCUCAGUGGUUCGAAGUGAACCGGGAAGUUGCAAUCCAAAUCAUUACAGACACCAAGUACUACUCGAAGUUCGAUCAGUUCUGCAAGCCAGCAUGCUAUGUAGACGAGCAUUACUUCCCCACCAUGCUCAGUAUGAAAUUGCCUCAUCUUAUAGCAAACAGGACUAUUACUUGGGUAGACUGGUCGAGGGGCG
rnacentral:misc_RNA from 1 species